CUAACGACUUUGAGGACUGAUUUCUCCCAUUAAUUUUGCUACCAGGAGCAAAAUUAUUGUGGUACGUUGUACGUCAGGAUAUUGCCAACAUUUCAAGUGCCAAAUUUUCAAGAAUUCGCUACAACUAGUACUUGAAAUUGUCGUUACAGUGAAGGGCUAUCAACAUUUGAAACAAUAACAAACAGUCAACAGCAAAUGGAAUGUAAAUGUCUUCUGAGGAUGCAGAAGAUCUUUUACAUGAUUCAGUUAUUGAAUUAUUUGACUUAUCUGAUUAUUCUUUAACUUUGCCAAACGAUGCUAAAGAAAGAUAUGUUGCUAAGCUUAAUGAAGUACAGUGUGACUGUCCUUACGUCAUAGAAAAUGAGUAUUGGACUUCCAGUACACAAGAGCUGAAAACAAUAUUACUAUCAGUUGAAUUUGGAGAUGUUUGGAACUAUCUAGUCUACAGAAAACAGUUUUAUACAGCUAACGAUAUGAAUAAUUAUAAGAGCUGCAAGUCUUAUGAGAUAAUUUUUGGAGAUGGGCUGUUUUUUGAGUUCAAGGCAUUAAAACUUACAAAUAAUACUCAUUUUGGCGGCGCGUUUUGCUGAUAAAAUAUCCGAAGCCACACUAAAAGCCCGUUCAACAGAUCCUGAUGAUGCUGCAACGCUAACAGCAUCUCUUCCGAUUUCGCUUAGUAUUGGAAAACGACACUGAUUAGAUUUCCAAUACUCGAGGGGCUUAGUGACGCAAAGGUCACUGUCGGGAUCCACUGGAUUCACUAGAACUUCCAUAGCUACGAUGGGUUCUUUUAAAUAAAUCCCAAACUCCUCCAAUACUUUGGCCGGGCCACUCAGGGAACGAGAUUUUGGUGGCUCAAUGACUGUUGAAUAUAAACUCUGGCUUAACCUUCUCUUGCGAGUUGAUGAAGGUUUUACUGCGUCUUGCUGAACUUCAUCCCUAGCUUCAUCCUGUUGAUUCGGCGUAGAAACGCUGGCUGCUUGUCCUAUGAUAACAGUUACUCAUGAAAGGCAUUCCUCUAAUUUAACUUUUACAAUUAAAACUCACUAGAACGCAACAGAUCGCAUCUUAUUUUAAUUUCAGAAGAAACUUCAUUUAACACUGCCUUUUCAUUCAAUCCAGCUUGUUUUAUCCAAGCACACUUAAAUCGUGGAUCAAAAAUUGAACCUGUGGAAUUAAUAAACAUAGAAAAUAUAGA